CUCCCCACCACCACACACUACUAUGGUCUAAACAUGUGCCCUGAAAAUUCACGUGUUGAAGACCUAAUGCCCAGGGUGAUGGUGUUGGGAGGUGGGGCCUUUUAGGAGGUGAUGAGGUCCUGAGAGUGGAGCCCUCAUGAGUGGGGAUUCAUUCUUUUAUAAAAGAGGCCCCGGCCUAGCCCCUCCUACCAAGUGUGAACACAAUGAGAAGUCUGUGACCUGAAAAUCACCUGACCAUGCUGGCACCCUGAUCGCAGACUUCCAGCCUCCAAAUCUGUAGCAAUAUAUUUCUGUUUUUUCAUCAGCCAUCCAGUCCCUGGUUUGGUUUUACCAGCCUGAAUGGACCAAGACACACAUCUCCAUCUGAUGGAAAUCUUAUGUCAUCCAUGCGGUCAUUGGCCUGGGCUGCUCUGUCCCAUGACUGUGCUUGGCUUUCCCAGCUGGACAUUCGAGACUGUGCUAACCUAUCCCCCUGCCACUUGUCUUCUGCUCAGGUUCCAGAAGUUUGGAGAAGAGAGGCCACACGUAUGCCCCUGCUGGAGAUGACUAGGCGGGUGAAUUGGUUAUUUAAUGGUUACCAUUCAGCUAAACGGCCUUGACACACCCCGUCUCACCAUUACAUCCAUCUCCUGGCCUUCUUGGAUGAGGGUGACAGGGAUACAUCAUGACUGUCAGUGUGAAUGCAGCUGGUGCUUUGGAGGAAUGAAGGGGGCAGAAGGAAAUCCCAGGAUCCCCAGCCUCCUCUGGCUUCUCCCAGACUUGACUUCUUCUAAGUGCCAAAACCCUCCCAUUCUGAUCAGGACACUGACUUCAGCUUCAUAAAGAAGACACAGCGGUGAAGUUAACUGCUGCAGAAUGGCAAGAACACAGGGUCAUGGCUAAUCCUCAAGGGGUGGAAGAAAAUGACCAGGAUGGGAAGAGGACCAAAACCCACCUUGCAGGUUCCUUUAGGAAUCAGGUAGGAUGGCUUAUUUAAAGGACCUAGUGUUUAAGAUUUUCAUUACAUGGUGAAGAAUGCAAUAGAAGUGCACAUGCUUGACAAUUCUCCAGAGACAACAUAGAGAUGGACAAAAAUCACAUGAAAAGAUGUUCAACAUCACUCAUUGUUAGAGAAAUGCAAAUCGAAACCACUAUGAGGUACCAUCUUACUCUGGCCAGAAUGGCCAUCCUCAGAAAUUCUACAAACAA